rnacentral:rRNA from 2 species
UGAGGAAUAUUGGUCAAUGGCCGAGAGGCUGAACCAGCCAAGUCGCGUGAAGGAAGAAGGAUCUAUGGUUUGUAAACUUCUUUUAUAGGGGAAUAAAGUGGAGGACGUGUCCUUUUUUGUAUGUACCCUAUGAAUAAGCAUCGGCUAACUCCGUGCCAGCAGCCGCGGUAAUACGGAGGAUGCGAGCGUUAUCCGGAUUUAUUGGGUUUAAAGGGUGCGUAGGUGGUGAUUUAAGUCAGCGGUGAAAGUUUGUGGCUCAACCAUAAAAUUGCCGUUGAAACUGGGUUACUUGAGUGUGUUUGAGGUAGGCGGAAUGCGUGGUGUAGCGGUGAAAUGCAUAGAUAUCACGCAGAACUCCGAUUGCGAAGGCAGCUUACUAAACCAUAACUGACACUGAAGCACGAAAGCGUGGGGAUCAAACAGGAUUAGAUACCCUGGUAGUCCACGCAGUAAACGAUGAUUACUAGGAGUUUGCGAUACAAUGUAAGCUCUACAGCGAAAGCGUUAAGUAAUCCACCUGGGGAGUACGCCGGCAACGGUGAAACUCAAAGGAAUUGACGGGGGCCCGCACAAGCGGAGGAACAUGUGGUUUAAUUCGAUGAUACGCGAGGAACCUUACCCGGGUUUGAACGUAGUCUGACCGGAGUGGAAACACUUUUUCUAGCAAUAGCAGAUUACGAGGUGCUGCAUGGUUGUCGUCAGCUCGUGCCGUGAGGUGUCGGCUUAAGUGCCAUAACGAGCGCAACCCUUAUCACUAGUUACUAACAGGUGAAGCUGAGGACUCUGGUGAGACUGCCAGCGUAAGCUGUGGGGAAGGUGGGGAUGACGUCAAAUCAGCACGGCCCUUACAUCCGGGGCGACACACGUGUUACAAUGGCAUGGACAAAGGGCAGCUACCUGGCGACAGGAUGCUAAUCUCCAAACCAUGUCUCAGUUCGGAUCGGAGUCUGCAACUCGACUCCGUGAAGCUGGAUUCGCUAGUAAUCGCGCAUCAGCCAUGGCGCGGUGAAUACGUUCCC